GGAUGCUUUAGAUGAAGCUGACCUACCACAUCCAGAGGCCUGGGAAGGAAAGAGAGCAGGUGACCACAUCCCACAGGAUGUGCUUCUUUCAGGUGGAUGCCAGCACAGCAUGGCUUGAUGAGUGGUGCAUAGGUGUGUGCCUGGGAUCUGAACCCACGAACCCUGGGCAACCAGCAUGGAGUGCACAAACUUAACCACUACACCACCAGGCCAGGCCCCCCUAGUUCUAUUUUUAAAAUCAAAAUGUGAAAACCUGUACAAAGUAACUACCAGCUUUUGAAAGAGACAUUGGUUUUUUUUAGUAGAUUUGCACUUCAAGAUUUCAUAUGGUCACAAAUAUCAUUAUGGCCCUUAAGUUAAAUGUCAAAUACUUAAAAUUGUGGUUGUAUAUCUAGUUGCAGGUCCUUCUAGUUGUGGGAUG
rnacentral:lncRNA from 1 species